CCAAGUGACAUUCAGCUCCCGGCCAAACUACAGCCAUGAAGAUACUUUACCUUCUUUUUGCCCUCUUCUUCUUGGUGGCUCAAAGUAGUGCACAAGAUUCUGACAGUCGUGUCUCUAGCACUUACAGAUGUUUUCGUCGUAAUGGUGGAUGCUUCCGUUCCCGAUGUCCUUGGGGGAUGAAGCGUAUAGGACGCUGCGGUAGAUUUGCUUGCUGUGUAUUUCGGAAGUGCUCCUGAGUGAUGGCAUCAUAGAUUGUCAAUGCAGGACCUCUGGGAAUCUGGAAGAUGACGCCUUGCUUCUAAAAUCCACGGGGGAGCAUUUGUAUUCCCCAUAAUAGCUUGUUCUUGUCCUUUUAAUAAAAGUAACUGGCUGCGGUGGUGUAUUGCAAACACGUGUGAGAAUGUUUUGAUUGGUGCCCGGGGGCUGUUUUGCUGUUUCUUUUCCAUAAAAAUCCCUUUCAUUUUCCUUUUUAAACUUAGAAAUAUAUAUAAAAAACAAGGCCCUUAUCAUGUAUUAAAUCCACUUCGGGGUGUUCCUAGC